CAGUCGCCGCGGUAAUACAGAGGGUGCGAGCGUUAAUCGGAUUUACUGGGCGUAAAGCGUGCGUAGGCGGCUUCUUAAGUCGGAUGUGAAAUCCCUGAGCUUAACUUAGGAAUUGCAUUCGAUACUGGGAAGCUAGAGUAUGGGAGAGGAUGGUAGAAUUCCAGGUGUAGCGGUGAAAUGCGUAAAGAUCUGGAGGAAUACCGAUGGCGAAGGCAGCCAUCUGGCCUAAUACUGACGCUGAGGUACGAAAGCAUGGGGAGCAAACAGGAUUAGAUACCCCAGUAGUCCCUGUCUCUUAUAC
rnacentral:rRNA from 1 species